rnacentral:rRNA from 1 species
GAUGAACGCUGGCGGCGUGCCUAAUACAUGCAAGUCGAGCGAACAGACAAGGAGCUUGCUCCUCUGACGUUAGCGGCGGACGGGUGAGUAACACGUGGAUAACCUACCUAUAAGACUGGGAUAACUUCGGGAAACCGGAGCUAAUACCGGAUAAUAUAUUGAACCGCAUGGUUCAAUAGUGAAAGACGGUUUUGCUGUCACUUAUAGAUGGAUCCGCGCCGCAUUAGCUAGUUGGUAAGGUAACGGCUUACCAAGGCAACGAUGCGUAGCCGACCUGAGAGGGUGAUCGGCCACACUGGAACUGAGACACGGUUCAGACUCCUACGGGAGGCAGCAGUAGGGAAUCUUCCGCAAUGGGCGAAAGCCUGACGGAGCAACGCCGCGUGAGUGAUGAAGGUCUUCGGAUCGUAAAACUCUGUUAUUAGGGAAGAACAAAUGUGUAAGUAACUAUGCACGUCUUGACGGUACCUAAUCAGAAAGCCACGGCUAACUACGUG